CAAGAAAUAGUUUAUAAUAAAAUAUUAAUUUUGGGGAUUAAUGAUAAAAGAAUUUCUUUUUUUCUUGA
rnacentral:tRNA from 1 species